rnacentral:rRNA from 1 species
AGGAGAUGCCGCUUGCGGCGUGCUUACACAUGCAAGUCGAACGGAAAGGCCCUUCGGGGUACUCGAGUGGCGAACGGGUGAGUAACACGUGGGUGAUCUGCCCUGCACUCUGGGAUAAGCCUGGGAAACUGGGUCUAAUACCGGAUAGGACCACACACUUCAUGGUGAGUGGUGCAAAGCUUUUGCGGUGUGGGAUGAGCCCGCGGCCUAUCAGCUUGUUGGUGGGGUAAUGGCCCACCAAGGCGACGACGGGUAGCCGGCCUGAGAGGGUGACCGGCCACACUGGGACUGAGAUACGGCCCAGACUCCUACGGGAGGCAGCAGUGGGGAAUAUUGCACAAUGGGCGCAAGCCUGAUGCAGCGACGCCGCGUGAGGGAUGACGGCCUUCGGGUUGUAAACCUCUUUCAGUAGGGACGAAGCGAAAGUGACGGUACCUACAGAAGAAGGACCGGCCAACUACGUGCCAGCAGCCGCGGUAAUACGUAGGGUCCGAGCGUUGUCCGGAAUUACUGGGCGUAAAGAGCUCGUAGGUGGUUUGUCGCGUUGUUCGUGAAAACUCACAGCUUAACUGUGGGCGUGCGGGCGAUACGGGCAGACUAGAGUACUGCAGGGGAGACUGGAAUUCCUGGUGUAGCGGUGGAAUGCGCAGAUAUCAGGAGGAACACCGGUGGCGAAAGCGGGUCUCUGGGCAGUAACUGACGCUGAGGAGCGAAGCGUGGGUAGCGAACAGGAUUAGAUACCCUGGUAGUCCACGCCGUAACGGUGGGUACUAGGUGUGGGGUUUCCUUCCCUUGGG